rnacentral:rRNA from 1 species
CAUGUAGGCGGUUUGUUAAGUCAGUCGUUUAAUCCCUCGGCUUAACCGAGGUCCUGCGGUUGAUACUGGCAAACUUGAGUACGGGAGAGGAGAGUGGAAUUCCAUGUGUAGCGGUGAAAUGCGCAGAUAUAUGGAGGAACACCCGUGGCGAAGGCGGCUCUCUGGACCGCUACUGACGCUGAGAUGCGAAGGCGUGGGGAGCAAACG